rnacentral:rRNA from 1 species
ACGGAAGGCAGCAGUGAGGAAUAUUGGUCAAUGGUCGGAAGACUGAACCAGCCAAGUAGCGUGAAGGAAGACUGCCCUACGGGUUGUAAACUUCUUUUAUGUGGGAAUAAAGUGCCCUACGUGUAGGGUUUUGUACGUACCACAUGAAUAAGCAUCGGCUAAUUCCGUGCCAGCAGCCGCGGUAAUACGGAAGAUGCGAGCGUUAUCCGGAUUUAUUGGGUUUAAAGGGAGCGUAGGCGGAGACUUAAGUCAGCGGUUAAAGCGUGUGGCUCAACCAUACCACGCCGUUGAUACUGGGUCCCUUGAGUGCACAUAAGGAUGGUGGAAUUCAUGGUGUAGCGGUGAAAUGCUUAGAUAUCAUGAAGAACUCCGAUUGCGAAGGCAGCUGUCCGGGGUGUAACUGACGCUAAUGCUCGAAAGUGCGGGUAUCAAACAGGAUUAGAUACCCUGGUA